GAAGGGGGCAAUGAGCGUGCUAAGGAAAUCUAUUUCAAGCAUUGGGACUUGCAAGGCCCUGUUAUUGACAGUAGUGAUGUACAUAGACUCAGAAAUUUCAUCAAGAAUGUAUAUGUUGAACGGAGAUAUUCAGACCAAAGAAUUGGCGAACAUUUAGCGCAAGCAAAGGUC